rnacentral:tRNA from 2 species
GGGCGUUUAGCUCAGCUGGGAGAGCAUCUGCCUUACAAGCAGAGGGUCGGCGGUUCGAACCCGUCAACGCCCA